ACCACAUAACAGGGGAGCUAACCGCCCGCGAUGCGCGGCUGUUCGGCUGAGAGGGGGCAAGGCCCCGACCCAUAGAACCUGUAUGGAUAAUGCCAACGAAGGGAGCCGUGAUGGCGCAAGA
rnacentral:ncRNA from 1 species